UUUUUGAGUUCCCUCCCUUCCGAAGCCCGCUCUUCCCUUUUCCUUGUCCACCGACUAUUUGCUCCCCCCUCCAGAUUGAGUGGUGCAUAGGGUUCUGAUAGCUUCGCCGGUCUUCCCCGAAGAAAGGGUUUGACACCAACCCAUCUCUUUCUUGAUUCUUUGCCUUGAGCUAUGAUACUAAUUCUUUGUGUUUCAUGGCAAGAUCCACCCAUUGAACGGGUAAAGGAGCUUCGAGGCAAUGAUUCAAGAAAAGGUUUCUGAUAGCUUCGUUAGUCUUCCCCCAAGAAAAGGUUCAACGAUUUAUCGGAUGAAGGAGCUGCUAGGCAAAGAUUCAAGAAAAGGUUUGAUCUCUGAUAGGUCCGCCGGUCUUCCCCCAAGAAAAGGUUUGAUUCCAACCCAUUUCUUUCUUGAUUCUUUGCCUUAAGCAAUGAUACUCAUUCCUUGUGUUUCAUACUUUCAUGGCAAGAUCCAAAGAUUGAUUGGGUAAAGGAGCUGCUAGGCAACGAUUCAAAAAAAGGUUUGAUCCUGUGUGCAGCCGUAUGUUGAGAGAUUUGGAGGGAAAGAAAUGCAAGAAUCUUCACCAAAAAGAGAUCUUCUAUUUACUCAAUUCUUCAAAAAGCUGUAAACUCUUGUAAGCCGUGAUCCCUUCUUGAUGUCUUUUUUUGCAGGUGAUGAGACCAAUUUUUUGCAGAUGAUUUCUUGGCUAGAUCAGAUGAUUUUUUGGCCGUCUUUUUUUGUUCUGAUUCAGCUUUAUCUCCAGACUCUAUGUUUUCAUACCUAUACAUCAUCAUGGAAUGCCUUGGGGGGACAGAACAAGCACCACUUCCAGUGCACCGUUGGUAAAGGAUUUUCCAACUAUUCACCUGGCAAGUGAUUUUCUGUACACUCUUAAGCAUUACAAUCUGCAAGGUGGAAUUUCUUUUUGUCACUCAGCAGUUCUCCUGUGCUUUGUUCUUUAUGAAGCUCUCAUUAAUGGUUGCCCCCUUAAAUGUCUCAUACCACUGGCCUGCUGUUAUAUGGUUCUGCAUCUUGGAAGUUACCUGCUGCUGUGUUGUGCUAUACAUUUUUUUUUGGUAGAACUGUGUUAUGCUAUACUUGCUGGUUAUUCACUAUACUUCAUAGUUUUCUACUCUUCACUUGUCUCUUUUAUGUAUUAUUUAUACAGGUUGGGAGCUGUAUUUUUGAACUAUGGGCCAUUUCUUGUUUCCGGCCGAUCUUCUUGUGGGUUCCCUUUGCUCCUGUAAACGUCAUGUUACACUUUUCUUCAAUAUAGGCUUUAAUCCUGAGUUACCAAAAGAAAAAAAAAA